GACGAACGCUGGCGGCGUGCUUAACACAUGCAAGUCGAACGGAAAGGCCCUGCUUUGGUGGGGUGCUCGAGUUGCGAACGGGUGAGUAACACGUGAGUAACCUGCCCUUGACUUUGGGAUAACUUCAGGAAACUUGGGCUAAUACCGGAUAGGAUCUCCUGCUGCAUGGUGGGGGUUGGUAAGUUUCGGCGGUUGGGGAUGGACUCGCGGCUUAUCAGCUUGUUGGUGUGGUGGUGGCUGACCAAGGCGUUGACGGGUAGCCGGCCUGAGAGGGUGACCGGCCACAUUAGGCCUGAGCUACGGCCCAGACUCCUACGGUAGGCAGCAGUGGGGAAUAUUGCAUAAUGGGCGGAAGCCUGAUGCAGCAACGCCGCGUGCGGGAUGACGGCCUUCGGGUUGUAAACCGCUUUCGCCUGUGACGAAGCGUGAGUGACGGUAAUGGGUAAAGAAGCACCGGCUAACUACGUG
rnacentral:rRNA from 1 species